rnacentral:rRNA from 1 species
CAUGCAUGUCUCAGUACAAGCUAAACUAAGGUGAAACCGCGAAAGGCUCAUUAAAUCAGUUAUGGUUCACUAGAUUCUCACCGUUAUUUGGAUAACUGUGGUAAUUCUAGAGCUAAUACAUGACGAGAACUCGAUGCCCGGGUCAAACCGGGCGGAGGGUGCAUUUUAUUAGGCCAAAACCAAUCGGCGAGCGGGCAACCGUUCCGCCGUCUCGCUUGGCGAGUAUGAAUAACUAGCAGAUCGCACGGUCUCGAACCGGCGACAAGUCUUUCAAAUGUCUGCCUUAUCACACUUUCGAUGGUACGUUUUACGCGUACCAUGGUUAUAACGGGUAACGGGGAAUCAGGGUUCGAUUCCGGAGAGGGAGCCUGAGAAACGGCUACCACAUCCAAGGAAGGCAGCAGGCGCGCAAAUUACCCACUCCCGGCACGGGGAGGUAGUGACGAAAAAUAACGAUACGGGACUCAUCCGAGGCCCCGUAAUCGGAAUGAGAACAUUCCAAACCCCUUAACGAGGAUCCAUUGGAGGGCAAGUCUGGUGCCAGCAGCCGCGGUAAUUCCAGCUCCAAUGGCGUAUAUUAAAGUUGUUGCGUUUAAAAAGCUCGUAGUCGGACAUGUGUCUGGUGUGGCCGGUCCACCGCACGCGGUGAACGACUGGCUCCCACAAGACGUCCGGCCGGUGACGGCAGGUCUGCAAAGGUCUCCCUCAACCACGGUCCCGGUGAGGUGCACUUCACUGUGUGUCUCGCCGGGCCGGCACAUUUACUUUGAACAAAUUAGAGUGCUCAAAGCAGGCACAUUCGCCUGAAUAUUCAACGCAUGGAAUAAUGGAACAGGAUCUCGGUUCGCUUUUGUUGGUUUUCAUCCGCCGAGGUAAUGAUUAAUAGAGUUGGCCGGGGGUAUACGUAUUGCAACGUUAGAGGUGAAAUUCUUGGAUCGUUGCAAGACGACCUAAAGCGAAAGCAUUUGCCAAAAACGCUUUCAUUGAUCAAGAACGAAAGUUAGAGGUUCGAAGGCGAUCAGAUACCGCCCUAGUUCUAACCAUAAACGAUGCCAACUUGCAAUCCGCCUGCGUACAUGGUGCGACACGGCGGGCGACUCUCGUGAAAACAAAGUUUUUGGGUUCCGGGGGAAGUAUGGUUGCAAAGCUGAAACUUAAAGGAAUUGACGGAAGGGCACCACCAGGAGUGGAGCCUGCGGCUUAAUUUGACUCAACACGGGAAACCUCACCAGGCCCGGACACCGGAAGGAUUGACAGAUUGAGAGCUCUUUCUUGAUUCGGUGGGUGGUGGUGCAUGGCCGUUCUUAGUUGGUGGAGCGAUUUGUCUGGUUAAUUCCGAUAACGAACGAGACUCUAGCCUACUAAAUAGGCGUUCUCCGACAUCUCAGAGGCCCGCCGGCCGUCGGCUUUCGGGUUGGCGGUCGCGUGCGGUUUUUACUGUCGGCGUACAACAAAUCUUCUUAGGGGGACAGGCGGCAUAUAGUCGCACGAGAUUGAGCAAUAACAGGUCUGUGAUGCCCUUAGAUGUUCUGGGCCGCACGCGCGCUACACUGAAGGAAUCAGCGUGUUUUCCCUUGCCGAAUGGCACGGGUAAUCCGUUGAAUCUUCUUCGUGCUAGGGAUUGGGGCUUGCAAUUGUUCCCCAUGAACGAGGAAUUCCCAGUAAGCGCGAGUCAUAAGCUCGCAUUGAUUACGUCCCUGCCCUUUGUACACACCGCCCGUCGCUACUACCGAUUGAAUGAUUUAGUGAGGUCUUCGGACUGAGGUGCGAUUUCGCCUCCGGUGUGUCGUUACUUUUCGGGAAGAUGACCGAACUUGAUCAUUUAGAGGAAGUAAAAGUCGUAACAA